AAGAAAGUAGAAAAGGGCGCAAGGUGGAUGCCUUGGCUCACGGAGGCGAUGAAGGACGUGAUAAGCUGCGAUAAGCCUCGGGUAG
rnacentral:rRNA from 1 species